CAUUAAGCUGACACGCCGUGAUAUGACUGGAAUACUGUUAAAAGCGGCGUUAAACCCAACUCACUCACUCUGAAUUGAAUGACGGGGCAGACUACUUAAAGAAUAGGAACGGGCCUAUGUAACAGUCCCCAUAUUGACGUCAUAGUAAUUAAUCAUUAGACUGGAAGGGAGAGAGUUUGGGGAAUAAAACGACGCGGAAAAUCGUCAGUCGGGGAGAACGGUUUUCGGGACUCAAGCAGAUAGGUCAGAGGUCACUGCGCUGCCAGUAAUUCAGAUUGCUUCCAGUACGUUUGCGAAGUAUCUGGUUACUGUAAAACCGUUUGAUUAAAUUAUUAUCUGAUCGAAAUCAAGUUGUCUUGUUCCUGUUGUGUUGUCUCCUGGAUGUGAAGAUCAAAACAAAGAAUCGGGUUACAUCCAUGCCGAUUUUCUGGUGCCGUGGCCCGGAUUGUGAAAGACAACUCUCCAACCAAGAGCACCCCAGGAACUGAGAACAAUUCGGUAGAACCUCUCAAGAUACAGAGGAGAAAGGCGGAUAAGGAGUUAGCAAAAGAAAAAAGAAGGAGAGAAAGAGUAAAGCGGAAGCGAAGGAAGGGAGAAAAUGCAAUAGAGGUUUGGAUAAGAAAAGACUAGAUUUUAGUCUACGAAUGACCGGUCGAAAGAGAAAACAUUCACCGCCCCGUCUCGAGCGAGUAAUGGAGGGACAAGCAUCCCACGACGGGGAGUCCGAAGACGAAGUCACGCCUCUUACGUCGGUAUCCCUUGACUUAUGCAACCGGGGACCUGAUCAAGGUACAGGAUCGUUCAGAUUGGUGAAGUGAAGAUUCUAGGCCAAGUGGCAGGGAACUCACUGGGAAUGUGCUGUGAGUGAGGAAAGGUAAUCAACUAAUGAUUUUGCGUAGCCUAGUUUACGCAGCUACGAAGUGAACUUUUGUGGCUGAAACAAUUUAAAGGAUGAAGAAAAAGGAAGGGAUGGCGUAAUUGUACGUGAAUAUGCCAGGCGUUCCCUAACGCUGUGAACUGAGAACAAAGAAUUACCUGACAGAAUUAUUAUAGGACAACGAGCUGUAACAAUAUACAGUUCAAGAAGAACCAGAACUGUAAGCUGUGAAAUGUUACACAAUGUCAGCAAAGUUGUUGACGUUGAAACGGGAGGUUCCGAGGCUCACCGUUGGUAUACAAGAACAUGUAAAUGUAAUACAUUUUCUUUCCCUAGGACGGGGAGGAUUGGAACCAGGUGUUGCUCU